UACGUAGGGGGCAAGCGUUGUCCGGAUUUAUUGGGCGUAAAGAGCGUGUAGGCGGCUUUACAGGUCCGUUGUGAAAACUCGAGGCUCAACCUCGAGACGCCGGUGGAAACCGUAAAGCUAGAGUCCGGAAGAGGAGAGUGGAAUUCCUGGUGUAGCGGUGAAAUGCGCAGAUAUCAGGAAGAACACCCGUGGCGAAGGCGGCUCGCUGGGACGGUACUGACGCUGAGGCGCGAAAGCGUGGGGAGCAAACAGG
rnacentral:rRNA from 1 species